CCUACGGAGGCAGCAGUGGGGAAUAUUGGGCCAUGGGCGCAAGCCUGACCCAGCAACGCCGCGUGAAGGGAGAAGGCCCUCGGGUUGUAAACUUCUCUUAAGAGGGGAGAGCAGAAGACGGUACCUCUUGAAUAAGCCACGGCUAACUACGGGACAGCAGCCGCGGUAAUACGUAGGUGGCAAGCGUUGUCCGGAUUUACUAGGUGUAAAGGGCGUGCAGCGGGGAAGACAAGUCAGAUGUGAAAUCCCGCGGCCUAACCGCGGAACUGCAUUUGAAACUGUUUGUCUUGAGUACCGGAGAGGUCAGCGGAAUGCGUGGUGUAGCGGUGAAAUGCGUAGAUAUAAGGAAGAACACCAGUGGCGAAGGCGGAUGACUGGACGGCAACUGACGGUGAGGCGCGAAAGCGUGGGGAGCGAACAGGAUUAGAUACCCGAGUAGUC
rnacentral:rRNA from 1 species